rnacentral:lncRNA from 1 species
AAAAAAGGAAAAGAAGAGAAAGAGCCAGUACCUGAAGCAUUCAAAGAUGCAUUUGUCCAGAUGAAAAAGGAGAGUAAGGUUGAAAUCAUAGUAAGUCUCAAGUGUGAUGCUGAGUAGGUUUAACUAAAAUUCCACCAAGGCAAGGCCAAGAACAAGUGGCAGAUCAGGGACCCAGAGUCUAAAGAGUUGUGCAGAACAGAGCAGCCUGAGCUGAACAUUUCAGAAUACUGUGCACAAAUGAAGGGCCAGCAGUGUGCUUGAUCUGGUUUCUCAAUUCUUCUCCCACAUCAUCUCUAUAAACCAUCAACUUUGAAUUGAUUCUAGAAUUCUCCUUUUCAACUCCUACAGAAGGAAUGCAGAACCAUCAGAGAAACAAACCAUAUAACUGGUAUGGUCACAGAUUUCAGCCUCUGGUAUCUUUAAAGCUGCUUCUCAUUUCCUUAUGACCUUGAUCCACCCCCUUCUCCCAUGUACCUCAGUGUUUAUUCUAAACUGUUAUGACUCAAAUUCUUACAACAUAUGAAGCCUUAAAAGAGGUCUUUCAGCAUUAGGAGUACCAAGCAGUGAUAUCCUGUGGCAACUUUCCCGGACCAUCAAUCCCAGAAAUGGUAGAAUUAAUCCUUCUACACUUGAAACCCUGUUUAAACUCCAGUUACUCUAAGUCCAAGUCUUUAAGAUCUAAUCUUCACACUUCCCAACCCUCUUUCACUGAGAUCUCAGAUCUCUAGCUCUGUGAUCAACAAAUUCCCCUGUGGCUUCAAUAUCUUUUCUGAAGGCCUUCCUUUUUCUUGCCAAAAUGAAAGACUGUCUCUCCUUUGAGCACAUUGCUUUCUGGCCAGCUUUCUCAAGUAGAGUCCAUUUUUCUUUUCUCCAACCUCAGGGUAAGGAGGUGAAGUUGAGAUCCUCCUUAUUCCCAUUGUUGCCUCUGACCAUCAUCCCAUUCCUGCCUGUGAAAAUCUUUCCUCCUCUGAAGCACCUGCCAUCAGGCCAUAACACCCUUUCUUCACAUUUAUUGAGGCUUAAGUCACUGAUUCACAGCCUUCUCUUGCUUUACUCUGAUCAUUCCAGAUGACUUCAGUGCUUCAAUUUUCUUAACCUCCCCCAUCUCCAAAGAUCUUCUUCUCCCUCUAGUUUACCACUCUGUCAUUACCAGAAAUUGUAUUACAUCUGAAAUUUCAAUUUUGAACCUUCUUCUUGCCCAGCUUAUUUGCUCAAGUACCUGCUUGGCCAAUGUUCUACUGUUCAUAAGUCCUCUCCCAGUCUUCCUUUGAAUCUGGACUUGACUGUAUCCCAUGAUCCACCAGUAUAUAUAUCCCAUGAUCCAACUUCAAUUCCGGAUAGAUCAUACUAUCGAUCUACUCUUUGUCUGCAAUGGAGCAGCUAGAUUAGAUGUUGUUGGAAAAACCACUCAACCAGGCCUACUGAUUUUAUUUAAAAUUCAUGAUCUCAUAUCAAAAUGGCCUUCCCUACUGCCAAGGAGUCCUAUUAUGUUUCUCUAGUGGUCUCCAUUUCCUAUUCUCCCUUUCUCUUUUCUUUCCCCUUCCAUCCAAACUACUACUUUCAGUAUAUCAUGUUGACUCCACCUUGAGAUAUGCCUCAAAUCUUACUGCUUUUCACCAUCUUUCUCUCUACCACCCUUGUUCAAGCAACAUAUUUUUUCUCCGAGCUACUGAGUGUUCUUUCUGUUUCUAGUCUUGCCCCUCUCUACUCCCCAAGUAUAUAGUCCAGUCCCCAAAGGAAGGAUGAGAUGAAUUAGAUCAUGCUACUUCUCUGUUGAAAUCCAGCUCAGUAAAAACCAAAGUUCCCUAUGGUGGUCUGCAUCCCCGUCAUGAUUUCCUGCCCUGUCGACUUUCCCUCACCCUUUACUUCUGUUUCUCCCACUGCGCUGUGCUGGGUGAGCGCUCUCAGCUUCAUUUAUUCUCUCCAUAAAGUGUUUUCUUUUCUUUUUUUUUUUUUGAGAGAGAGAAAGAGAGAAUUUUUAUUUAUUUUUUGGCAGACACAACAUCUUUGUUUGUAUGUGGUGCUGAGGAUCAAAUCCGGGCCGCACGCAUGCCAGGCGAGUGCGCUACUGCUUGAGCCACAUCCCCAGCCCCUCUCCAUAAAGUGUUUUCAACCCAGAUGCCCACAUGGCUCCCUCAUCUCCUUCAAGUUUUUGUCCAGCAAGCCUUUUCUUGAUUACCUUAACUAAAAUUGCAACCACAUUAUCUGAAAUUCCCUAGCCCCCAUUUUUUUGGUGUGUUUCGUUUUGUUUUUCCAUAAAACACUUAUAUUUUUGUUAUACUAUAUCAUUUGCUUAUUUAAUUUACUGUGUUUCUUAUUCUACUAGAAUGUAAAACCCAGGAUUUUUUGUUUGGUUUUGGUCUGUUUUGUUCACUGCUGCGUCACUAGUGUCUAGGACACAUAGUAAGUUCCUUUUUUUGGGGGGAGGGGGUGGUACCAGAGAUUGAACCCCAGGGGUCCUUAACUAUUGAGCCACAUCCCCAACCCCAACUUUUUAUUUUUUAAUUUUGAGACAGGUUCUCACUAAGUUGCUUAGGGCCUCACUAAGUUGCUGAGGCUGGCUUUAAAUUUGUGAUCCUCCUGCCUCAGCCUCCCAAGUUGCUGGGAUUACAGGCAUGUGCUACCAUGCCUGGCCAUAGCAGUUUCUUAAUAAACUUUUGUUGAAUUAAUAAAAUGAAUGAAUCUCAAAUAAUGGAUGGUUGAACAUUCUUUAGGUAAUCUUCCAUCAAUAAUGUUUCUCUAAAGCAGGGAAUAAAGCAGAAUUCUUAGCCCUGUGGAGCUGACAACUACUGAAUGCUAAGUUUGACAAUUUAUAUGUCUCUAUAUCUUGCAGCUAUCCUGUGAGUAGAUAAAUCCAUUCAUUCAUUUGUUCAUUAAACAAGUAUUUAUUGACCAUCUAUGUUGUCUCAGGCACUAUUCUAGACAUUGGGGAUAUAAAGUCCUCUCUACAUGGAAUUCUAAAGGAGAGAAGGGCGGUAUACAUAAAGAAAGAUCAGAGAGUGAUAGGGUAAAGAAUAUGCAAUUAGCUAAUGGUGGUGUGGAGCACUCUAGAUGUGGUCAAGGAAGGCGUCUCUGUGGGACUGACAAUUAAGAUCAGACCUGGGUGAUAAAAAGGAGCUGGCUAGCUGGGUGUGGUGGCACACGCCUCUAAUCCCAGUGAUUUAGGAGGCUAAGGCAAGAGGAUCUUGAGUUCAAAGUCAGCCUCAGCAAUUUAAUGAGGCCUCAAGCAACUUAGUGAGACCCUGUCUCAAAAUAAAAAAUAAAAAGGGCUAGGGAUGUGGCUCAGUGGUUAUGAGCCCUUAGGUUAAAUCUCCAGUAUGACAUGAUUCUAUAUUUAGAGGAUCUCAAAAAUUCCACCAGAAAACUUCUAGAAUUAAUAAAUGAAUUCAGCAAAGUAGCAAGAUAUAAAAUUAAUACCCAUAAAUCAAAUGCAUUUCUAUACAUCAGUGAUGAACCCUCUGAAAGAGAAAUUAGGAAAACUGCCCCAUUCACAAUAGCCUCAAAAAAAAAACAAACAAAAAAAAAAAAACUUGGGAAUCAAUCUAACAAGAGAGGUGAAAGACCUCUACAAUGAAAACUACGGAACACUAAAAAAAGAAAUUGAAGAAGACCUUAGAAGAUGGAAAGAUCUCCCAUGUUCUUGGUUAUGAAGAAUUAAUACUGUGAAAAUGUCUAUACUACCAAAAGCAUUAUACAGAUUUAAUGCAAUUCCAAUUAAAAUCCCAACAACAUUUCUCAUAGAAACAGAAAAAGGAUUCAUGAAAUUCAUUUGGAAUAAUAAGAGACCCAGAAUAGCCAAAGCAAUCCUUACCAAGAAGAGCAAAGCAGGAGACAUCACAGAACCAGACCUUAAACUAUACUACACAGCCACAGUAACAAAAAUGGCAUGGUAUUGGCACCAAAAUAGACAUGUAGACCAGUGGCAUAGAAUAGAAGAAACAGAGACAAACCCACAUUAAUACAGUUAUCUCAUACCAGACAAAUGUGCCAAAAACAUACAUUAGAGAAAAGAUAGAACCUUUUCGACAAAUAGUGCUGGGAGAACUGGAAAUCCAUAUGCAGCAAAAUGAAAUUAAAUUCCUAUCUCUUACCCUGCACAAAAACUCAACUCAAAGUGGAUCAAGGACCUAGGAAUUAGGUCAGAGACCCUGUACCUAUUAGAAGAAAAAGUAGCCCAAAUCUUCAUCAUGUUGGAUUAGGUCCUGACUUCCUUAACAAGACUCCUACAGCCUAAGAAAUCAAGAAUCAAUAAAUGGGAUGGAUUCAAACUAACAAGUUUCUUUUCAGCAAAGGAAACAGUAAUGUGAAGAGAGAGCCUACAGAGUGGGAGAAAAUCUUUUCUAUACGUACCUCAGAGAGAGCACUAAUCCCAGGAUAUAUAAAGAACUCAAAAGACCUAACACCAAAAAAAAAAAAAAAAAAAACAACAAAAACAACAACAAAUGGGGUAAAGAACUGAACCAGAACUUCUCAGAAGAAGAUAUUCAGUCGAUCAACAAAUAUAUGAAAAAAUGUUCAACAUCUCUAGUAAUUAGAGAAAUGCAAAUCAAAACUACUCUAAGGGAAGCAGGGAUUGUGGCUCAGUGAUAGAGUGCUUACCUAGCAUCUGUGAGGCACUGGGUUCAAUUCUCAGCACCACAUAUAAAUAAAUACAAUAAAGGUGCAUCAACAACUAAAAAAAUUUUUUUUCAUAAAAAAACUAAGAUUUCAUCUCACCCCACUCAAAAUGGCAACUAUCAAGAAUACAAACAACAGUAAAUGUUGGCGAGGAUGUGGGUGAAAAGGUACACUGAUACAUCUCUGGUGGGACUGCAAAUUGGUGCAACUACUCUGGAAAUCAAUCUGGAGAUUCCUUAGAAAACGUGGAAUGAAACCAUCAGUUGACUCAGCUAUCCCACUCCUUAAUCUAUACCCAAAGGACUUAACAUCGGCAUACUACAGUGAUGCAGCCACAUCAAUGUUUAUAGCAGCUCAAUUCAUAAUAACUGUGGAACCAACUUAGAAGCCCUUCAAUAGAUGAAUGAAUAAAGAAACUGGUAUAUAUAUACAAUGGAAUAUUACUCAGCAUUAAAAGAGAAUAAAAUUAUGGCAUUUGCAUGAAAAUGGAUGGAGUUGGAGAAUAUCAAUCUAAGCAAAGUAAGCCAAUCUCCCCAAACAAAAGGCCAAAUGUUUUCUCUGGUAAGUGGAUGCUGAUCCAUAAUGGGAAGUGGGGGGCGUGGGAAGAAUGGAAGAACUUUGGCUAGGG